GAACAACUCUCAGCAACGGAUAUCUUGGCUCCUGCAACGAUGAAGAACGCAGCGAAAUGCGAUACGUUAUGUGRAUUGCAGAAUUCCGCGAAUCAUCGAGUCUUUGAACGCAACUUGCGCCMGAGGCUUGUCCGAGGGCAUUUCCGCUAGAGCGUCACC
rnacentral:rRNA from 1 species